GCGAGAUUUCCCCCAAGGCGCCAUGACGCGUUACAGAGCUGCCUGUGGGAGUGACAGACGGGGGAGCUUACACUAGCUGAAGGGGCUAAACCCCUGGCACCCAAGAUUUCCUCUGAAAUUGUAAGUGAUUGAAUUUAACCUAAAGACCCUCUACCUUCACUAUGCCUAUAAGGGCCCAGCUGCAAGAGAGAAAGAGAAUGAGGCAUUGAGAGCAAGAGGAGUUCUACAUCUACAUCAUACUGGAAGUUACCAUAACGUUGAAUAUGACAUGCUGUUGUUGUUCCACAUUGGCCUCUUCCUCAUCCUCAUCUUCUGCAGUGACAGUUCCCCUUUAUAUCUGGCGGCAAGGCCUCACCCUCAGGCAGGAAACAAUGGCUUUAUAUUUCCAUCAGCCUUACCUCAGUGUUUUGCUGCUGGUGCAAGAUGUUACACAGCUUGGCACCCAUCUUGAAUCUCCUGUAUCAGGAAAGAAAGAUUAGAUCUGGUUAAACUGUCUAUGGAAGAUAAAGGCAAAGGAUCACAGGGGCAUGAUGGGAAAGAGACAGCUUCCCACAUUUGAAUCCUCAGUGAGAAGGAGCCAUGUGAGCGAGGGUUUGAUGCUCGGGCCGUGCAGCACUGGAUCUGCAGCAGAGGAGGAGUUCAGUGCAACACAGAGGAACACCCCUUGCGCCUUGGUACCUCACUCAUCAGAACCAGUGGGAUCUCUCUAUGGAAGAUAAAGGCACAGAAUCGCAGGUGCAUGAUGGGAAAGAGACAGAUUCCCACAUUUGAAUCCUGAGCGAGAAGGAGCCAUGUGAGCAAGUCGUAUUGUUUGAUGCUUUUGAACAACCCUAGCAGACUGUACCAACAUGCCCCCUGCAGACUGUACAUCAUUGCAAUCAUUCAAGCAUAGAUGAGAGUAUUAUGCACAUGUUGUAAAGCAUUUUGGCUCCCUGAAGUGCAUUGUCUACUAUGAAAGCCCAAGACCGGACCAAUGGGGGUGGCCCAGGGAGCCGCCUGAGGGAAAAUUUCUGCCCUGGCUGUUGAUGAUGUGACAUUUCUGGAGCUUUAAAAUUUGGCAGUGAGAUUGGGAACUAUUUUUGUGCGGCAGAAGGGGUACAGUCCAGCUCCAAAAAGUUGCCAUGGAAAGCAUACCUUUUGUAAAUCCAACCCAUGUAAAAACGGAGGCACCUGCUCUGUGACAUGAGGCUCCUUCAACUGCGACUGGGAUUUGGGGGCAAAAGACUGCUGGAUAGCACUGCAAUAUACAAACCAUUUCAAUGGGAGCAGCCUCCUGUCCUGUGAUUUUAAGAACGAUUUGAAAAUCUCCGUUCCUUUUUUUUCUGGGUUUUGUGGGCGUUUAGAUCACGCAGGGCAGACGGGGUGUUGCUGCAGGCGCACGCAGGGCAAUACACCACUAUACUGUGCCAGCCGGGGCUCCAGCCAUACCUCCACCCUUCUCUUGGAUCAAAUGUGAGCGAAUGAUGGGAAGUAGCACGACCUUCAAAUGGAGCUACGCGAUGUGCACAGUGGGUGUGAAAAGCGUUAUGUUAAAAGCAUCAACCAGGACUAUGGGAUCUAUCAGGAUACUAUGGAGAGAACUGCGUCAAUGUUUGCCAGCUAAACCCUUGUGAGAACAGAGGCGUUUGUCGGCACCAGGCCAGUGCCCCUAUGGGCUACACUUGUGAGUGCAGCAAGAAUCACAUUGGCCGGUACUGCGAGCACAGGAGUUUCAUUACCGCCCCAAAGGCAGUGAGACGUGUUUGCCUUGUGAUUGUUAUCCUAUUGGCUCCUCAUCAAGGGCAUGUGAUCAGGAAACUGGCCAAUGCUAUUGCAGACCUGGCCUGAUUGGACUGAUUUAUGAUGGUUGCCCCAAAACAUCAACAGCAGGAGUCUGGUGGCCCAGGACCAAGUUUGGCGUUCCUGCUGCAGUGCCGUGCCCACUCCCUUGCUGGCUCAAAGAGAAGGUUAAGCAUGUGUGGGUGCUCAUGUGUAUGAGCUAAGGCAGGGACUGCCAUCUGACACUGCUAUGAUUUCAAGGGUUGGCUGGAGCCAGAUCUGUUCAACUGCACUUAUUCGGCCUUUGUGGAGCUCUCUUCUAUGCUGGACGGCCUGGAGAGAAAUGAGACUGAACACAAUAGAAGCCAAGAAGCUCGCCUUGCGUCUGCGUUCAGUGACAGACCAGAUGUAUCAGUACAUCCACGAAGGGUUCAGGUUAACCGCCACACAGGAUGCACAAUUUACUGAGUGCUUAAUAUUGAGAGAGUGGAAAAUCAAAACUCUGCCAGGAGACAGUUCCCCAGAUACCACAGUCACCUUGUUCGGGGCCAAACUUUCUGGGAUCACCUUACUCAUGUGGUGCUGUCAGAGUCAGUCCUUGUGCCACCCAAGCCAAAAGGACCUAAAAUGCUGAAUAGUCGAAGUCCUGAAAGGCUUCUUCGAUGUUAUCUGCCAUUUCAGCACAAGGUCCUUUGGGCAGCGUUAGAUUGGCUGGCAGCUUGGUGUACUUCUCAUCAAAGUAGCUGACAUCCUCCGGUCCGUUGAGGCUGGGUACGAACGGGGCUGUUGCCUUCCCAUCAAUGAUGUCAUCCCAGGCUGUGUUCUGCAAACAGGCUGCUGUUGUUCCACAUUGGCCUCUUCGUCAUCCUCCUCAUCUUCUGCAGUGACAGUUCCCCUUUAUAUCUGGCGGCAAGGCCUCACCCUCAGGCAGGAAACAAUGGCUUUAUAUUUCCAUCAGCCUUACCUCAGUGUUUUGCUGCUGGUGCAAGAUGUUACACAGCUUGGCACCCAUCUUGAAUCUCCUGUAUCAGGAAAGAAAGAUUAGAUCUGGUUAAACUGUCUAUGGAAGAUAAAGGCAAAGGAUCACAGGUGCAUGAUGGGAAAGAGACAGCUUCCCACAUUUGAAUCCUGAGUGAGAAGGAGCCAUGUGAGCGAGGGUUUGAUGCUCGGGCCGUGCAGCACUGGAUCUGCAGCAGAGGAGGAGUUCAGUGCAACACAGAGGAACACCCCUUGCACCUUGGUACCUCACUC